GACGAACGCUGGCGGCGUGCUUAACACAUGCAAGUCGAACGGUAAGGCCCUGCUUUUGUGGGGUGCUCGAGUGGCGAACGAGUGAGUAACACGUGAGUAACCUGCCCUGGACUUUGGGAUAACUUCAGGAAAGUCGAGCGAAUACAGGAUAGGUGCUCCUGCGCCAUGGUGGGGGGGGGAAAGCUUAAGGGGAUCGGGAUGGACGCGGGGCUUAACAGCUUGUUGGUGGGGGAGUGGCUUACCAAGGCUUUUAAGGGUAGCCGGCCUGCUAGGGUGCACAGGCCCAAUGGGACUGCGGUAAGGACCAGAGUCCUACGGGAGGCAAGAGGGGGGAAUAUUGCACAAUGGGGCGCAGCCCUGUGCAGCAACUACGGGGGCGGGAUGAGGGCCUUCGGGUUGUAAAACGCUUUCGCCUGUGACGAAGCGUGAAUGACGGUAAUGGAUGAAGAAGCACCGGCUAACUACGUG
rnacentral:rRNA from 1 species